CAGUCGCCGCGGUAAUACGUAGGUAGCAAGCGUUGUCCGGAAUUAUUGGGCGUAAAGGGCUCGCAGGCGGUUUCUUAAGUCUGAUGUGAAAGCCCCCGGCUCAACCGGGGAGGGUCAUUGGAAACUGGGAAACUUGAGUGCAGAAGAGGAGAGUGGAAUUCCACGUGUAGCGGUGAAAUGCGUGGAGAUGUGGAGGAACACCAGUGGCGAAGGCGACUCUCUGGUCUGUAACUGACGCUGAGGAGCGAAAGCGUGGGGAGCGAACAGGAUUAGAUACCCCGGUAGUCCCUGUCUCUUAUAC
rnacentral:rRNA from 1 species